CAGGACGAACGCUGGCGGCGUGCUUAACACAUGCAAGUCGAGCGAUGAAACACCUUCGGGUGUGAAUUAGCGGCGAACGGGUGAGGAACACGUGAAGAAUCUGCCUUCAACUCUGGGAUAACUCCGGGAAACCGGGGCUAAUACCGGAUAUGAGCCUCGAUCGCAUGAUUGGGGCUGGAAAGUUUUUCGGUUGAAGAUGACUUCGCGGCCUAUCAGCUUGUUGGUGAGGUAAUGGCUCACCAAGGCGACGACGGGUAGCCGGCCUGAGAGGGCGACCGGCCACACUGGGACUGAGACACGGCCCAGACUCCUACGGGAGGCAGCAGUGGGGAAUAUUGGGCAAUGGAGGAAACCCUGACCCAGCGACGCCGCGUGAGGGAUGAAGGCCUUCGGGUUGUAAACCUCUUUCAGUAGGGAAGAAGCGAAAGUGACGGUACCUACAGAAGAAGCACCGGCUAACUAUGUGCCAGCAGCCGCGGUAAUACAUAGGGUGCAAGCGUUGUCCGGAAUUAUUGGGCGUAAAGAGCUCGUAGGUGGUUCGAUACGUCGGAUGUGAAAAUCAGGGGCUCAACCCCUGACCUGCAUCCGAUACGGUCGAGCUAGAGUUUGGUAGGGGAGACUGGAAUUCCUGGUGUAGCGGUGGAAUGCGCAGAUAUCAGGAGGAACACCGAUGGCGAANGCAGGUCUCUGGGCCAAUACUGACACUGAGGAGCGAAAGCGUGGGGAGCGAACAGGAUUAGAUACCCUGUAGUCCACGCCGUAAACGGUGGGCGCUAGUUGUGCGAACCUUCCACGGUUUGUGCGACGCAGCU
rnacentral:rRNA from 1 species